UGAGAGCGGCUGGAAGGCGGUGCUGUUGAAAACAUCAUGUCAAACUGCUCCAUAAAAGAAGUAAACUUUGACUGUCAAGUGCAUUCCUACAGAGAUUUACUGAGUAAAGGAUCUCAUGAGCAAUCCAGAGGAAGGGUUCUAGGUUUCCUUCCUGAAGGUUCCUCACAGGCCACAUCCAGAGACGGACCAGCCAGCAUCCAUGCAGUAAGCACGUAUCUGUGCUUCUUCCGCAUGAACAUGGCAUGUGAUAUUCUAGAACCUGGUUUGCCUACACAAGGAAGAGCCCUCGCUAGAUGAGCAACCACCCAGAAGGCAGGUAUUCCUGGGCCUCAAGAAGGAUGAGUCUUUGCAAGUGGCCUGGUCUUUUGUUGGCUGGCAAGGAUUUUGUUUUCCAGAGAGGAGCCUUCACUCAUCUUGAGUGGGGGAGAAUGAGCCAGGGUCUGUGAGGCACACGGAGAUACUUGUCUGAAGGAUUCGACUCUUAGGAAAUCACAGCACAGAUGCCUGAAGCAGAGGGGAAACACCUGCAGCCGCUGCUGCCCUGCAGCCGUCUCUGUCCCUGGAAUCACCAAGAACACAGCCUUGGAAGUGGCAGUGUGUCUUCUUGAUCCUCUGAAGAGAGGCCCAGGACACCUGUUGCUGAGGGACCAGGGUGGCAGGGCCCCACUGGGCCUGUGUAGAAGGAGCCAAGGCAGUUAGUGGUUUCUCCCAGGAGCCUUCAUGCUAGGUUGGGAGUUCUGAACGGCUUGAUCCACAGCUCUGCUCAGGCAGAGAUGCGCUUCAACCACUAGGCCUAAAGCACACGUGGCCGCUGGAGCUCAUCUCAGCAACUGAGAGUGAAGGACCCUCCAGAGCCCCAGAAGACCCCCGCCCGGGGAGUGACAUCAGUUGGGGAGCUAUUAAUAACUGCCCUCCCCUCCCUGUCAUAUUUCCUGAACUGUGUGGGGAAGGCGAUUGUGAGGCGCUCUGCUGGAAUUUGGCAGCGCGGAGGCUUGGAGAGCAGCCCCAUGCUGGCUCCUAUUCAGCCGGCCAGUUUUCCUCGAGCUUUGGAAGUUUCACUCAGCCGUGCACUCAAUGGCUUCACAAAGCUGAUUACAAGCUUCAGCGCAUUCCUGAAGGAGCCAAAAGCGACGCAGGUGCAAACGAGCCGAGGGAGCCCCUUAUCCCGGUGACAGAAUGGGACAAGCUGGGAAAGGCUUGGACCACACAAAUCCAAGGCUCACCAGGCAGCAGAGAGCCUGCCUUGGGAACCGGGGGUCAUUAUCCGCCCUAUUCAGCGGGGCUCGGGACCCCGGGGCCAGGGAGGCCGGCCCAGCGCAAGCACCACAGUCAGUGUGCGCCCGCGGCAGUGGGGACCCCGCUGGGCGCUGCAGCCCAUCGGGAUGUUGGGCGCUGUGUUUGUUCCCACCGAUAGCGAUCCGUGAAAUCUAUCUUGCUCGUGAAAGCUGGUGUCCACGCUAAGGGGGAUACAGGAGAACCAAGGUGGCGAAGAUGCUUAACUUCGAUUAUCGAGGUUGCAUUGAGCUGUUCCUGCCGCAGGCCACUCUCAGCUCCCCACCUCCAAGUCCUGAAACCCACCCCACAACUCGUCUUCGUUUUUCCUGUCCUACGGAGAGCGACCUCCGCAAAGGGCGGUGGGAGGGACAGUGGCCAGUGACCGUGAAGGAAUGGAUCACCAGGUAGUCCUGUGCACCUAGCAGGGCAGUGGAGAAUAAGGAGCCACGUCUAGGGUAAUCAAAUAACAUUCCUGCCAGCGACGAAAGGACUACCGGCUGCGGGGACAGGCUGGCCCGGCGGCAUAGAGCUUGCGGAAGGGACUAGCGCGGGACCAACUGAAGUGAGACCGCUGGAGUUCAGAGGCGGGCUAAUCCCACCCCGUAGGCAGCCUCUUCCCACCGUGGCCAGUCUCCAUCGCAGUCACUUAUCUGGAAACCUGCGGCUGGAUUAAUCGCUAUAUUCCCAAGAUGAGCGGCGCGGCAAUCCGCAGUGUAACACGGAUGGGAACUCGGAAGCAUCAUCCCCCGGGGUCUCGCGGUGCCAGCAGCCGGUCAGCUCCCUGCAGAUCUGAAUGCGGCACCGUUGCUAGCACCUGUUUGGGCUCGGGUGGGGAUGAGCAGGCACAGAUGUGCGCAGAGGAUGUGGGAGAGAAGGCGACAGACCUGUGGGGACCCCGGCCUGGAAGAAACACAGAACUGCCUGUGGUUUAUUCCCGCUUUUGACUUGACAGAAAUGU